rnacentral:rRNA from 1 species
UUAAUUCGAUGAUACGCGAGGAACCUUACCAGGGCUUAAAUGUAGUGGGACAGGUCUAGAGAUAGACCCUUCUUCGGACUCAUUACAAGGUGCUGCAUGGUUGUCGUCAGCUCGUGCCGUGAGGUGUCAGGUUAAGUCCUAUAACGAGCGCAACCCCUAUCGUUAGUUGCCAGCGGGUCAUGCCGGGAACUCUAGCGAAACUGCCGGUGCAAACCGAGAGGAAGGUGGGGAUGACGUCAAAUCAUCACGGCCCUUACGUCCUGGGCCACACACGUGCUACAAUGGCCGGUACAGAGAGCAGCCACUACGCGAGUAGGAGCGAAUCUACAAAACCGGUCUCAGUUCGGAUCGCAGUCUGCAACUCGACUGCGUGAAGCUGGAAUCGCUAGUAAUCGCAUAUCAGCCAUGAUGCGGUGAUACGUUCCCGGGCCUUGUACACACCGCCCGUCAAGCCAUGGAAGCUGGGGGUACCUGAAGUCGGUGACCGAAAGGAGCUGCCUAGGGUAAACUAGUGACUGGGGCUAAGUCGUAACAAGUAACCAAGGCGAUUCCAGCACACUGCGC